ACGCUCGACACCUACAGGAGGCAGCAGUGGGGAAUAUUGCACAAUGGGGGAAACCCUGAUGCAGCGACGCCGCGUGAGCGAAGAAGUAUUUCGGUAUGUAAAGCUCUAUCAGCAGGGAAGAAACUGACGGUACCUGACUAAGAAGCACCGGCUAAAUACGUGCCAGCAGCCGCGGUAAUCUGAGGCGGGCGUGGACGAAGGC
rnacentral:rRNA from 1 species